rnacentral:lncRNA from 1 species
UCAGGCUCUUGCAACCCGCAACCUGCACCCAGCGGCUGCCCCAGACCCCAUCCAUGGGGAUGGGUACACGCCAGUGCUGGGUGCUCCGGAGGGGCCAACGGGGCUCAGCGUUUGCUCAGCUCAUGGUGAUGGGAGCCUGGCAGCCCCCGCUGGCACAGAGACAAUGCUGGUGCUCAGAGCUCUGCCCCACUGCCAUGGGGAGGAUGAACGUCUCCAUCCCAUAGCAGAGCAGGGUGGGCAUCCCCUGGGCGGCACCGAGCAGCUGAUUGCACCCAAUUGAGCUCAGCCCGUUUCGCCAGGAACCCUACCAGCUGGGAACCAGAGUAAAGACCGCGACAGGAAGACGGCGAUCCGGAGCUAGGCGCUCCCGGGGAAGGACGGCACGGAGGAGCGGAAGGACGGACGGACGGACGGAUGGAAAAGCCACACACACCGAACCACGGACACACUCCCGUCUUCACCCCGCUGCCAGGGACAGGACCCUGCCCCUAUGGGGCCGUGGGGCUGGGCUGUGGGGACGCCCCCCGCUGGGGACUGAGCCAAGCUGGGGACGCUGCCGCCGGGACCGACCGCUGCCGUGCUGUUCCCCUCCAGCUUUGAGCCACGCCAUCCCCUGAACUGAGGCCCGGGGUGCUGCAUUUGUUGAGUUUAAUCAAUACAUGCUGGUGUUUCAUGUCAUUGAUACGAUAAUAUAAAGCCUGAGCAGCUCGUAUAAUUAAAAAUGAGUACGGUUCAGAGACGAGGCAGAAGCUUCCUUCCUUCCUUCCUUCCUUCCAGCCCAACGCAGCCCCCGU